rnacentral:rRNA from 1 species
GAGUUUGAUCUUGGCUCAGAUUGAACGCUGGCGGCAUGCCUUACACAUGCAAGUCGAACGGCAGCAUGAUCUAGCUUGCUAGAUUGAUGGCGAGUGGCGAACGGGUGAGUAAUAUAUCGGAACGUGCCCUGUAGUGGGGGAUAACUAGUCGAAAGAUUAGCUAAUACCGCAUACGACCUGAGGGUGAAAGUGGGGGACCGCAAGGCCUCAUGCUAUAGGAGCGGCCGAUGUCUGAUUAGCUAGUUGGUGGGGUAAAGGCCCACCAAGGCGACGAUCAGUAGCUGGUCUGAGAGGACGAUCAGCCACACUGGGACUGAGACACGGCCCAGACUCCUACGGGAGGCAGCAGUGGGGAAUUUUGGACAAUGGGCGAAAGCCUGAUCCAGCAAUGCCGCGUGUGUGAAGAAGGCCUCGGUUGUAAGUA